GACGAACGCUGGCGGCGUGCUUAACACAUGCAAGUCGAACGGAAAGGCCCUGCUUUUGUGGGGUGCUCGAGUGGCGAACGGGUGAGUAACACGUGAGUAACCUGCCCUUGACUUUGGGAUAACUUCAGGAAACUGGGGCUAAUACCGGAUAGGAGCUCCUGCUGCAUGGUGGGGGUUGGAAAGUUUCGGCGGUUGGGGAUGGACUCGCGGCUUAUCAGCUUGUUGGUGGGGUAGUGGCUUACCAAGGCUUUGACGGGUAGCCGGCCUGAGAGGGUGACCGGCCACAUUGGGACUGAGAUGCGGCCCAGACUCCUACGGGAGGCAGCAGUGGGGAAUAUUGCACAAUGGGCGGAAGCCUGGUGCAGCAACGCCGCGUGCGGGAUGACGGCCUUCGGGUUGUAGACCGCUUUCGCCUGUGACGAAGCGUGAGUGACGGUAAUGGGUAAAGAAGCACCGGCUAACUACGUG
rnacentral:rRNA from 1 species